rnacentral:rRNA from 1 species
AACGCGAAGAACCUUACCCAGGCUUGACAUGCAGAGGACGGCAUCAGAGAUGGUGUUUCCCGCAAGGGUCUCUGCACAGGUGCUGCAUGGCUGUCGUCAGCUCGUGCCGUGAGGUGUUGGGUUAAGUCCCGCAACGAGCGCAACCCUUGUCAUUAGUUGCCAACACUUAGGGUGGGGACUCUAAUGAGACUGCCUAGGUUAACUAGGAGGAAGGUGAGGAUGACGUCAAGUCAGCAUGGCCCUUAUGUCUGGGGCUACACACGUGCUACAAUGGCCGGUACAGAAGGGAGCGAAGCCGCGAGGUGAAGCAAAUCCUAGAAAGCCGGUCUCAGUUCGGAUUGCAGUCUGCAACUCGACUGCAUGAAGUCGGAAUUGCUAGUAAUGGCGUGUCAGCAAUAACGCCGUGAAUACGUUCUCGGGCCUUGUACACACCGCUCGUC